rnacentral:rRNA from 1 species
UGGGGAAUAUUGGACAAUGGGGGCAACCCUGAUCCAGCCAUGCCGCGUGUGUGAAGAAGGCCUUUUGGUUGUAAAGCACUUUAAGCAGGGAGGAGAGGCUAAUGGUUAAUACCCAUUAGAUUAGACGUUACCUGCAGAAUAAGCACCGGCUAACUCUGUGCCAGCAGCCGCGGUAAUACAGAGGGUGCGAGCGUUAAUCGGAAUUACUGGGCGUAAAGCGAGUGUAGGUGGCUCAUUAAGUCACAUGUGAAAUCCCCGGGCUUAACCUGGGAACUGCAUGUGAUACUGGUGGUGCUAGAAUAUGUGAGAGGGAAGUAGAAUUCCAGGUGUAGCGGUGAAAUGCGUAGAGAUCUGGAGGAAUACCGAUGGCGGAGGCAGCUUCCUGGCAUAAUAUUGACACUGAGAUUCGAAAGCGUGGGUAGCAAACAGGAUUAGAUGCCCUGGUAGUCCACGCCGUAAACGAUGUCUACUAGCCGUUGGGGUCCUUGAGACUUUAGUGGCGCAGUUAACGCGAUAAGUAGACCGCCUGGGGAGUACGGCCGCAAGGUUAAAACUCAAAUGAAUUGACGGGGUC